UACGAAGGGGGCUAGCGUUGUUCGGAAUUACUGGGCGUAAAGGGCCAGUAGGCGGCCAACUAAGUCACACGUGAAAUCCCCAGGCUUAACCUGGGAACUGCGUGUGAUACUGGAUGGCUUGAAUUCGGGAGAGGGAUGCAGAAUUCCAGGUGUAGCGGUGAAAUGCGUAGAUAUCUGGAGGAAUACCGGUGGCGAAGGCGGCAUCCUGGACCGACAUUGACGCUGAACGGCGAAAGCUAGGGGAGCAAACGGG
rnacentral:rRNA from 1 species